GGCUCAGAUUGAACGCUGGCGGCAGGCCUAACACAUGCAAGUCGAGCGGCAGCACGGGUACUUGUACCUGGUGGCGAGCGGCGGACGGGUGAGUAAUGCCUAGGAAUCUGCCUGGUAGUGGGGGAUAACGCUCGGAAACGGACGCUAAUACCGCAUACGUCCUACGGGAGAAAGCAGGGGACCUUCGGGCCUUGCGCUAUCAGAUGAGCCUAGGUCGGAUUAGCUAGUUGGUGAGGUAAUGGCUCACCAAGGCGACGAUCCGUAACUGGUCUGAGAGGAUGAUCAGUCACACUGGAACUGAGACACGGUCCAGACUCCUACGGGAGGCAGCAGUGGGGAAUAUUGGACAAUGGGCGAAAGCCUGAUCCAGCCAUGCCGCGUGUGUGAAGAAGGUCUUCGGAUUGUAAAGCACUUUAAGUUGGGAGGAAGGGCAGUUACCUAAUACGUAUCUGUUUGACGUACCGACAG
rnacentral:rRNA from 1 species